rnacentral:rRNA from 1 species
UCUUCAUGGCCCAUUCACCAACUUGAUGUUAAAAAUGCUUUCCUCCAUGGUUCCCUUCAAGAAACUAUCUACUGCCAGCAACCUCUGGGUUUUGAAAAUCCAUCCUUUCCAACUCAUGUAUGUCUUCUUCAGAAAUCUCUCUACGGUCUUAAACAGGCCCCACGAGCUUGGUUUCAACGCUUCUCCUCCUUCAUUCAAACAAUAGGCUUCACUCCAUCUCUCUCCGACACCUCUCUUUUUGUGUAUCAUCAAACUUCUGACACUGCCUAUUUACUUCUCUAUGUAGAUGAUAUCAUUCUUACCGCCUCCUCUCAAAAGUUCUUAGAUCAUAUUGUCUCUCUUCUUAGAUCUGAAUUUUCUAUGACUGACCUAGGACUCCUUCAUCAUUUCUUAGGCAUUGCUGUUGUUCGAGAUUCCUCCAGCCUUUUUCUUUCCCAACGCCAGUAUAUUCUUGAUCUUCUUAAUCGUGCUGGUAUGCUUGACUGUCAAUCAUCUCACACUCCUGUCGAUACUAGUUUUAAACUUUCGGCUACCGGUGAACCCUUUUCCGAUCCUACUCUCUAUCGUAGCCUAACAGGUGCUCUCCAAUAUCUCACCAUUACUCGUCCUGAAAUCUCUUUUGCUGUUCAACAAGCAUGUCUCUAUAUGCAUGAUCCCCGGGUUCCUCACUAUAAUCAUGUUAAACGCAUUCUUCGGUAUUUAAAAGGAACUCUCAAUCAUGGUCUCCACCUCAAUAAUUCUUCUCCAAACUCGCUUACCGCAUACUCUGAUGCAGACUGGGCUGGUUGUCCUGACACUCGAAGGUCCACUUCCGGUUUUUGUGUUUUU